UUGUAGAACCGUAAUGCCAUUAAUUUGGUGUUGCGGGGAAACAGGACUGUUACUUUGAAAAAAUUAGAGUCGUUUAAAGCAGGCCAACGCCUGAAUACAUUAGCAUGGAAUAAUGAAAUAGGACGUUCGAACCUAUCUUGUUGGUUUCUAGGAUUGACGUAAUGAUUAAUAGGGAUAGUUGGGGGCAUUAGUAUUCAAUUGUCAGAGGUGAAAUUCUUGGAUUUAUUGAAGACUGACUACUGCGAAAGCAUUUGCCAAGGAUGUUUUCAUUAAUCAAGAACGAAAGUUAGGGGAUCGAAGACGAUCAGAUACCGUCGUAGUCUUAACCAUAAACUAUGCCGACUAGGGAUCGGAUGAUGUUAUUUUUAUAGAGCCUCUCUC
rnacentral:rRNA from 1 species